GAUGAACGCUGGCGGCGUGCCUAAUACAUGCAAGUCGAGCGAACGGACGAGAAGCUUGCUUCUCUGAUGUUAGCGGCGGACGGGUGAGUAAAACGUGGAGAACCUACCUAGAAGACGGGGAUAACUUCGGGAAACCGGAGCUAAUAACGGAUGAUAUUUUGAACCGCAUGGUUCAAAAGUGAAAGACGGCCUUGCAGUCACUGAGAGAUGGACCCGCGCUGCAGUAGCUAGUUGGUAGGGUAACGGCUGACAAAGGCAACGUUGCAUAGCCGACCUGGGCGGUUGCUCGGCCCCCCUGGACCUGAGCCCCGUCCCAGCCCCCUCGGGGGGGCAGCAUGGGGGAUUCUUCCGCAUUGGGCGAAAGCCUGUCGGAGCAACGCGGCGUGAGUGAUGAAGGUCUUCGGUUCGUAAAUCCCUGUUGUUAGGGAAGAACAUAUGUGUAAGUAACUGUGCCCAUUUUGCCUUUCCCUAAUCAGAAAGCCCCGGCUACCCCCGU
rnacentral:rRNA from 1 species